ACGCCCAGCGCGCCGCCGCCUGUAGCCCCUCCCAGCACCCGCGCCCCCACCCACCUCAACCCCCGGAUCGAUCUACCGCUUCUCAACCUACCUCGGCGCCAAUUGGAUUGCUGCGGCGACGGCCUCGUCGAUCCUCAGCUUCGGCACCUACAUCCUGAAGGGGUACGAUCUCGUGUUUGGUAUGGAUCUGAACGCCCACCCCUUCUCAGAUCUGCCUGCUACGAAUUCCUUAUUUGGGUCGGGAGCAAGCUGUAAUCUCAGUACUUGUACUUGUUCAUCCAUCUAAGUGUUUCACCUCUGUACUAGUACUUUCAUCCAUCUGAUUCUUUAACCUCUGAACCUUUCACUCGUACGUUUCUCUGAUUUCUCACCCCGUGGCCACCUUGCUGCUGCUGCUUCACUGACUUAUUGGGAUGGCACAUGAGGCAACAUGCUGCUGCGUUUGGAGAUUUCAUAAAAAAAGACAUUAGCAUGUAGCAAACCAUGAGAGGGUAUUAAACAAAACGGCCACAACACUAAACAGAUGGGUCACCAGUUUAGGAUCAGUAGCAGACCAUGGACAAUUUUGGUCUAAUGAAUAAAGCAAAGAUACCAGGGUAAAACAAAUCAGAUGAGGAAUGUUACACGCAUGAGUACUCACCCAUGAGAGCAGGACAAUAUGUCCUGUUGGAAUUGCUGCAUGUUCAUCGGCACACAGUCAGUCAACAACUCGAGGAGCACGACAAUGUGUGCACUUCACAAAAUUCACCACCUUCUCAUCCUAGUGCCACACAUGAAUCCAGCACAAACUGGUAGAAAUUAAAAUAAGUACCAUGCGCAAAUGUCCCGGAUUCUUAGUCCGAUUUUUAACUUGUUAUCUCGAAGUUCCAGCAGAAGAUUUUUUUAAUGAAUAUCUGUCGAUUGAGCGUUGUGUUUUCAAACUAGAUAAGAUUUUGUUCAUAGGCGCAUCUUAUAUCCAAUGGCAUUGAGUGUGGGUGGCUGGACCGUGGUCUUGAAUCUCCUCUCUCUAUUUCGAGUUAUGAUAAGCUGAUAGUGCAUUGGCAUGCUACUGUGUACCUCUUUGCCCUCUCCAUUCACAUGUUUCUUUUGGUCGGAUUGCUUGGUUCUGCGACCCAAAUUGCAGAGGAGACGUCCACAACUUGUACUGCUUGGUUUUCCUGUCCAAGACUCAAAUCUUCUCCUAGGUGGAUUCUCCUUUCUCCUUCCCUCAUUUAUCUUCUACGAAUUCAUGUCUAUUCGCAAUUUAAAUUGUGCUUGUGAUGUCAUUAUUUAAUCUGUCUUUACUUGUAAUGGUUUUAUUGACACUUAAUUAGUACUUUUCUUAAUCUUGUAUUACAUAAGGAAGUACGCAAGCACGGGAGAACAAGCUUGUCAAUUUUUUUGGAACAUGCCAAAGGGGCAAAGAAUAGUUGUAAAAUGCAAUGAAGAAAGCUAGCCUUUUGGACCAAGCUUGCCAAUUGUUUGGAACAUGCCAA
rnacentral:lncRNA from 1 species